GAUGAAGAACGUAGCGAAAUGCGAUACUUGGUGUGAAUUGCAGAAUCCCGUGAACCAUCGAGUCUUUGAACGCAAGUUGCGCCCGAAGCCACUAGGCCGAGGGCACGCCUGCCUGGGCGUCACACGCCGUUGCCCCCCCAUCAACUCCUUCGGGAUUGCGGGGGGGCGGAUGAUGGCCUCCCGUGCGCCUAGCCGCGCGGUUGGCAUAAAUACCAAGUCCUCGGCGACGCACGCCACGACAAUCGGUGGUUGCGAAACCUCGGUUGCCCGUCGUGUGCGUUCGUCGCGCAUCGAGGGCUCGAAAAAAUGCUCGGCUCCGGCUGGGCUUUCAACGCGACCCCAGGUCAGGCGGGGUUACCCGCUGAAUUUAAGCAUAUCAAUAAGCGGAGGA
rnacentral:misc_RNA from 1 species